rnacentral:lncRNA from 1 species
CGCGUCAGUUAUGAGAAUUUAUCAAGGCAGUCACGACGAUAGGACCUGGAGUCCUGGAUUUCCCAUCCAUACGUGUGACCGUGUGAACACAUGGGCCUAGAAAAAAGCAGCAAAGCUGCAAAGACCAUCUCGGCAAAGCUGGGCUGCUAGCUAGCGUUGUGUUCGUUUUCAGUUCAUCAGCUUACAGGUAAGUGUUCUUUUGUUUUUUUUUUAAAUACAGUAUUAUACUCUAAUACAUGUUGGAUCAGCAGGGUAUGCCAGUGCAUACCUGGCAUACCCUGUAACUCCGCCCCUGCACGACGCCCGCCUAGGCUCUCACUGGCCCAAGCCACGACGCGAACAAUCUUCAUCCGUGAGCUCCUCGGCAAGACCCAGCCUCUAGAUUCCCGAGCUCCUGGAAUCAACAGGGAGGAGGACCACCGGUAGGCGGAGAAGGAGCACCGAUAGGAGAGGAGGACAGGGAAUGGUGAGGAGGCGGUGAGAGGAACUCAAUCACUGACGAGCUUGAGCAUGGCGCCAGCAAGGGUGGGAGCUCGCCCAGCUGCUAGUGCGUGUGGAACCGCCACUGCUCGAGUCUCCGUAUCCCGUCACACUGUC